UACGGAGGGGGCAAGCGUUGUCCGGACUUACUGGGCGUAAAGGGUGCGUAGGCGGCCUGCUGCGUCGGUGCUGAAAGCGCCCGGCUUAACCGGGCGAGGCGUGCCGAUACGAGCGGGCUGGAGCCUUGGCGAGGGUGGCGGAACUCCUGGUGUAGUGGUGAAAGUGCGUAGAGAUCAGGAAGAACACCCGUGGCGCAAGCGGCCCACC
rnacentral:rRNA from 1 species